UUAGAGAUAGUUUAAAAAAGAAUAGUGGUUUUGGGAAUCAUUGGUGCACAGUAGCGUGUUUUCUAAA
rnacentral:tRNA from 1 species